AACGAACGCUGGCGGCAUGCCUAACACAUGCAAGUCGAACGAGACCUUCGGGAGUAGUGGCGCACAGGUGCGUAACGCGGGGGAAGCUGCCGUAAGGCUCGGAAUAACUCUCCGACGGGGGUGCUAAUGCAGGGUAAUGUCUUCUAACCAAACAUAUAUCGCCUUUGGUUGGGCAGGCGUUGGUCUAGCUAGUUGGUAGCGGAAAAGCCGACGACGGCGACGCUCGAUAGCGGGUCAGUGAGAAUGGGCAGCCACACUGGGACUGAGACACGGUCCGGACUCCUGCGGGAGGCAGGAGUGGGUGAUACUGCCCUACGGCGUGGAUCAUGAUGCAGUUAUGCCUCGUGAGUGAUUAAGUUCUUAAGGUUGUAAAGCACUUUUACCCGGGAUUAUAAUGACGGUACCGAGAGAAUAAGCUCCGGCUAACUCCGUG
rnacentral:rRNA from 1 species